GACGAACGCUGGCGGCGUGCCUAAUACAUGCAAGUAGAACGCUGAAGGAAGGAGCUUGCUCUUUCUGGAUGAGUUGCGAACGGGUGAGUAACGCGUAGGUAACCUGCCUGGUAGCGGGGGAUAACUAUUGGAAACGAUAGCUAAUACCGCAUAAAAUUGAUUAUUGCAUGAUUGUCAAUUAAAAGGUGCAACUGCACCACUACCAGAUGGACCUGCGUUGUAUUAGCUAGUUGGUGGGGUAACGGCUCACCAAGGCGACGAUACAUAGCCGACCUGAGAGGGUGAUCGGCCACACUGGGACUGAGACACGGCCCAGACUCCUACGGGAGGCAGCAGUAGGGAAUCUUCGGCAAUGGACGGAAGUCUGACCGAGCAACGCCGCGUGAGUGAAGAAGGUUUUCGGAUCGUAAAGCUCUGUUGUAAGAGAAGAACGAGGGUGAGAGUGGAAAGUUCACACUGUGACGGUAUCUUACCAGAAAGGGACGGCUAACUACGUG
rnacentral:rRNA from 1 species